UAAUGCCGAUGUCUUGUAGUAUAACAGUUAACACCUCUAAGUCACAUGGAUGAAUGGACCAACAUUAUCCUUAAUAAGAGACAAAUGCUCAAAGGACAUUAAACACUGAUACCACAAUCCCAUUGAUGAAUGCGAGUGACACACGCUCGACAUGUGUGUUGCAUUUUUGAGGAAAUUUUUUGUUAUUAUUGUUUAGAAGACUUCUGAUUAGCAUGUAGUUAUUGGGAUUUGUUGAAUCACUAUAUUCCAUACUAUUUAACAUGUUUGAGCAAUCAAUAUAGACGAUUCCAGAACCAAAAGCGCUUACAUAGGGGCAAAAUAUAGACUAGUUUGUGUUAAAUCUUUAUUGAAUUUAUGAUUGAGAGGAAUAGAAAAGAUGCUUUGGAAAAGAUCGCGCCAGUAUUAUGAUAAUAGCUAUAUGAACUACUGGUUUACUGUCAAUGUGCCCUUGCAUUAAAAAGUUCAAUACUGCUGAAUUUCACACUACUGACUCUUCAUGAUGCAUGAUCUAAAUAAUUAUUUCAUAUAAUUGACGAACCAGCACAUACAAAGAAGAAAAUUUGGCAGGUUGCAUUUUGGAUGCCUGUUGUGUUCUAUGCCUUAUAAAUCAUUUAGAAUGUUACUUAUUGUGGGAAGUGGUUUUGCACGAGGAGCUUCCUUAUCACUGUGUAGUUGGAACUGAAUGUGUUAUCUUGAAAGCUUUAACCACUCUUUGGGACUUUGUUUUAAAUCCUCUCCAUUCAAUUAAUGAAGGAAUUUAAGUGGAUGGUUAAAGCAUUGGAUUGUAUUGGGAAGCAGUAAAUGUGCUCGGACUCUUUGAAUCGGUUUUUAGCAAGAUAAAUUGGGAAUGGCGAAAUGCCUACACUUCCAGCAGCAGUGCCUAAAUCUUCAAUCUUGAAUGCACAGAUCUGCUCUUUGGAUACUGCAUUUUGAAGUCUCUGGUCGGUUGGUAAGGUCCAAAUCUCUGAUCUGGCCUAUGUAGAUCUACAUAGUUGGGCAACAGGUUUUGAAAUGUUUGAUUGAUUAAUGCUUGAAGAAGCAAUCUGACCAAAAUGCUUUAGAAAAACGAUGGGAUUAGGUAU